GAUGAACGAGGGAGGCGUGCUUAACACAUGCAAGUCGAACGAAGCAUUUAAGACAGAUUCCUUCGGUUUGAAGUCUUUUAUGACUGAGUGGCGGACGGGUGAGUAACGCGUGGGUAACCUGCCUCAUACAGGGGGAUAGCAGCUGGAAACGGCUGGUAAUACCGCAUAAGCGCACAGUACCACAUGGUACAGUGUUAAAAACUCCGGUGGUAUGAGAUGGACCCGCGUCUGAUUAACUUGUUGGCGGGGUAACGGCCCACCAAGGCGACGAUCAGUAGCCGACCUGAGAGGGUGACCGGCCACAUUGGGACUGAGACACGGCCCAGACUCCUACGGGAGGCAGCAGUGGGGAAUAUUGCACAAUGGAGGAAACUCUGAUGCAGCGACGCCGCGUGAGUGAAGAAGUAGUUCGCUAUGUAAAGCUCUAUCAGCAGGGAAGAUAGUGACGGUACCUGACGAAGAAGCGCCGGCUAAAUACGUG
rnacentral:rRNA from 1 species